rnacentral:rRNA from 1 species
AACGAACGCUGGCGGCAUGCCUAACGCAUGCAAGUCGAACGAGACCUUCGGGUCUAGUGGCGCACGGGUGCGUAACGCGUGGGAACCUGCCCUUAGGUUCGGAAUAACUCCCCGAAAGGGGUGCUAAUACCGGAUAAUGUCUUCGGACCAAAGAUUUAUCGCCUUUGGAUGGGCCCGCGUUGGAUUAGCUAGUUGGUAGGGUAAAAGCCUACCAAGGCGACGAUCCAUAGCUGGUCUGAGAGGAUGAUCAGCCACACUGGGACUGAGACACGGCCCAGACUCCUACGGGAGGCGGCAGUGGGGAAUAUUGGACAAUGGGCGAAAGCCUGAUCCAGCAAUGCCGCGUGAGUGAUGAAGGCCUUAGGGUUGUAAAGCUCUUUUACCCGGGAUGAUAAUGACAGUACCGGGAGAAUAAGCUCCGGCUAACUCCGUG